rnacentral:tRNA from 1 species
AGCCUUGAGGUGUUCCACAUAUAAGAUUGCAAAUCUUAAGUAGCAGAGUAAGAUCUGCCGGGGCUU